rnacentral:rRNA from 1 species
ACAUUUCUUUAAGAUUAUAAUUUAAAGUAGGUUCUGCCCUAUGAUUAAAUUUAAAUGGCUGCAGUAUUCUGACUGUACAAAGGUAGCAUAAUAAUUAGCUUCUUAAUUAGGGGCUUGUAUGAAUGAAUUAAUGAGAAAUUUAUUUUAUUAUUAUUAUUAUUAUAAUUUAACUUUUGAGUUAAAAUGCUCAAUUAUAUAAUUGGGACGAUAAGACCCUAUAGAACUUUAAGUUUAUAUUUAUUUUUUAAUAAUUUGGUUUAAAUAAUAUAAGUUUAUAUAAAUUUUUUGCUGGGGUGGCGAAUAAAUAAAACUUUAUUUUUUUUUAUCAUAAUAUAUAUGUUUAAUUGAUCCAUUAGUUGUGAUAGUAAGAUUAAGUUACCUUAGGGAUAACAGCGUAAUUUUAAUGGAAAGUUCAUAUUUAUAUUAAAGUUUGCGACCUCGAUGUUGAAUUAAGAUUAAAUUAAGGGGUAGGUUCUUUAAUUUAAGGUCUGUUCGACCUUUAGAUUCUUACAUGAUCUG